rnacentral:misc_RNA from 1 species
AACGGUCUAUACCUGCGGUACCUGCGGAAGGAUCAUUACCGAGUUAUCAACUCCCAAACCCCUGUGAACAUACCCGAACGUUGCCUCGGCGGGACCGCCCCGGCGCCCCUAGCGGCCCGGAACCAGGCGCCCGCCGGAGGACCCAAACUCUUGCUUUAAACAGUGGCAUACUCUCUGAGUCUCACAAACAAAAAAUAAAUCAAAACUUUCAACAACGGAUCUCUAGAUCGGAAGAGCACA